GGGGUCGACUGGUUUUGACAGCAAGUCGAAUUGAAAAGUAAGCACGUCGAGAACUGGGACAAUUCUCGUUAAUAAAUGGUUCCAACACUUUUACACGGCGAAAAUAACUACGCUCUAGCUGCAUAAUCCGAAUUAUAGUAAGAUUAGCCUCGUCCCUACAAGGUAGGGAAGCAGGAUUCCUCUUGAAAGCCUUGGUUUGUGGCGUUCUUAAAAGGGGAACCGUAAAAAUAAACCUAGGAACAGUCAAGCUUCGGGGCUGUUUUGACAACUAAGAAGAUAAGCAUCUGGUGGCUGUUCCUGGCCAAGCCUGAUGACGAAAAUCCAAUCAGGAAAUAAGCGUGUAGAAAGUUUUUUAGUUGCUUGUUUGGACGGGAGUUCGACUCUCCCCGACUCCACAG
rnacentral:tmRNA from 1 species